UACGGAGGAUCCGAGCGUUAUCCGGAUUUAUUGGGUUUAAAGGGUGCGUAGGCGGCCUAUUAAGUCAGGGGUGAAAGACGGUAGCUUAACUAUCGCAGUGCCUUUGAUACUGAUGGGCUUGAAUGUAGUUGAGGUAGGCGGAAUGUGACAAGUAGCGGUGAAAUGCAUAGAUAUGACAUAGAACACCAAUUGCGAAGGCAGCUGGCUACACAUAUAUUGACACUGAUGCACGAAAGCGUGGGGAUCAAACAGG
rnacentral:rRNA from 1 species